rnacentral:lncRNA from 1 species
CAUGAGCUUGCUCUGGGACGGCUCCCAAAGCUACUUUUUAAUUACAAUCCACGUGAGAACACUGUGGCCAGAAGCUUCUAUUUUCCUGGCAUUUUCCUUCCAUUGGGGCCUCCCAACCUCAGGAGUUCCUCUGUAACAUGGCUAACUCCCCUAUUCUUUCCUCCUAGACUUUACCUUGUGGGUUCAGAGAGGAGACUGCUGUUGCUAAGCCCUGCUGAGCAUCAUUUCUGGUGUGGCAGAGUUGACAAGCCACCUGCUUCUUCACUACUCCUGACUCAUCUCUGCAGAGCAGACCCACCUCACUUCUUGGACAUCACUAAAGAAUGUUCUGAUUCCUAAUCUGAAAAUAUGAAAUCCAUAGUGCUCUGAAAUCUGAAACUUUCUGAGCACCAACAUGACACCACGUGUAAGAAAUUCCCCUUGUGAGUACUUAACACAAACUUUGUUUCAUGUGCAAAAUCACUUAAAAUAGUUUGUAGAAUUAACUUCAGGCUAUAUGUAUAAGGUAUAUAUGAAGCAUAACUGAAUUAUACAUUUAGUUUGGGGUUCCAUUCCCAGGAUAUCUCAUGUAUAUGUAAAUAUUCCCGAAUCUGAAAUAAUCAGAAAUCCAAAACACUUCUUGGCCCAAGCAUUUUGGAUAAGGAUACUCAACCUGUCAGUUGAAUAUAAAAUAUUUUUCUUUGAUAGUUCUACAUGCCACAAAUUUUUCUGACUCCAAACAAGCCUAUGUCACUCUUGCCUCAGAUAUGUGUGAUUUGAAGCUUAGCAGAAAACCUGCCUCCCACUUUUUCUAGACUGUUUUCUAGGUAUAAUGCAGAUAACUUGUAAAAUAAUGUUCUAGGGUGUAAUAUAUAAAUCCUGCCUAGGCAAAAGCAAAAGGUGCAGGAAAGGACUCUAGGUUUAACUUCUAACUGGCUUACUCAUGCUUCUCUCCAAGAGAAAAGCCAAAAAUGUGCCCCCAAGGUGGAUGCCUGGUUAGUCAAUUAUGGGUAAGACUCUGUGCAACACAAGAGCAACCUAAGACAGGCACAGCCGUAGGGAGGCGAACAAAGGCUAAAUUCAUACAAAAAGCCAGUCUGCUCCCAUGAAGGAAUUGAGCAGCACUAGAAGCAGAUACACCAGCAGCGUAAUUGACAGGAAAGUAAGUUGCAGUGAGGUGAGCAAAGGCUAAAUUCAUACUGGGAGCAGAUGCACCAGCAGUGUACUUGACAGGCAGGCAAGUAAGUUUCCUGUGUGCCCCCCAGGUGGAUGGCUGGUUAGCCAAUGACGGGUAAGAGUCUCUGAAAGAUGAGAGCAACCUAAGACAGGCACAGCCACGGGGAGGCCAGCAAAGGCUAAAUUCAUACUGAGAGCAGAUGCACCAGCAGCUUACUUGAAAGGCAGGCAAGUAAGUUGCCUGUGUGUCCCCCAGGUGGAUGGCUGGUUAGCCAAUGACAGGUAAGACUCUCUGAAAGAUGAGAGAAACCUAAGACAGACACAGCCACGGGGAGGCCAGCAAAGGCUAAAGUCAUAUGAAAAGCCAGUCUACUUCUAUGAAGUACAGGAGCAGCACUAGGAGCAAAUACACAGGCAAGGUAAUUCCCAGGCAAGCAAGUUGCCUAUGAAGAGACUUGGACUCUGCAUUCUGUGCAUAAAAAAGGAUGUAAAAGCUUUCUGAUAAUAGUAUCUAGAUUUUAAAAGGAAGCUUUUAAAGGCAGAAAAUGUGGAAGGAAAUGAAAGUGAAGUGGAAUAGAAUAUAGUUUAAAUAAUAAGCAUAUAAGUGGUAGUUAAAUAAAAGUACAAGUAAAGCAGAGUGGGAACCCCUCUCUUUACAUAGAUAAGCACACUGGAGCACAUAUAUAAGUGUGCAACAAGCACAUUUCUGCAUUUCCUGUUCUUCUGAUCUCCCUGGAUCACCUCCCCCCACCUUUUUACCCCUUACCUUUAAACACUUCAGGAUGUAUAUUCUAAGAAUGUCAACUUAGGUUUUGAAAGAAAUCAAGACUGAAUGUGUUUCACUUAGUGAUAUAGGUAGGCUGUAUUAGACCCUUAGGUUGCCUGAUGGUCAAAUGCACUUAUCUUUCCUCCUACCAUAUAAGACCUUCCAUGUUCAUAUUUGAUAUUUAUUGCUUGGAACAUUCCAACAUACAAACUAGAUUCAUGCAAACAAAAACACUCUGAGUAUAAAAGAGACCUACUGAGGUUUUAUGGAUACAAAAAGAGCUACGAAAGAGGAUGAAUGAAAACAGAACAGUGGAGCAGCAAUUGUGUUUGCCUAGGGGAAAUUUAAUGAUUGGAUCAAGUGGUCCUUAGUAUGUCUGAUCGUAACGGAUCAUAUGGCCUUGGAAAUUGGGAAGUAGGCCCAGAUUAUGUUCUGAGAUGGACUUUAUGGACAACUUCCUUUGUUUCUUAAAACAUCCACAUCUGCCACUGAAAAAAAGCAGUAUUUCACAUUGUAUAUACGUUGUACAUACAUAAUGUAAAAGUAGAAGGGAUUUCAAAAUCGCCCUGUUUAUAUACAUUAUGUCAAAGUAGAAGGGAUUUCAAAAUCGCCCUGCGUGCUCUUACUGGGUUACCAUUGUGUUGUUAAAGUGCUUUGCAACUUGAAAGAGCUAUUGAGAAUAAAGUUUGUUAUGAGAGAUCAUUGCAGCUUAUGGUUGUUAAUGUUGUGACAGUGGAGAACGUGGCCUUUUGGGAAUGGGCUUCCAGGGACCAAUGUAAGAUGUAUAUGUUUGAAAUAGGGUAAAAAAUCAAGGUAUUCAAAGUUGCAGGACAGACUUUUAGAUUUAAUAUUUUUAGUGUAUUCAGGUUUGGAAUUUGUUUUAUGUUUUUUUGUUAGAGAUGGGUUCUCAUUCUAUUGCCCAGGCUGGAGCACGGUGGUGUAGUCAUAGCUCACUAUAUCCUUGAACUGCUGGGCUCAAGCAAUCCUCUCACCUCAGCCUCUUGAGUAGCUGGGACUACAUGCAUGAGCCAC